GCGGGCGUAGUUCAGCGGUAGAAUGUCUCGUUGCCAACGAGAAGGUCGUGGGUUCAAAUCCCAUCGCCCGCUCCA
rnacentral:tRNA from 7 species